ensembl:lncRNA
UGGAUGAGUAAUCACAAAUAUUACUCAAGAACAAAAAGAUUCUAAGAGAAAAUAAAGCAGGAAGGAGACAAACUAGCAUUCUUGGAGAAAGAAUUGAAAAAUAUGCAUAGUUGUAGAAUCCCAUAGAUGUGAGUAGGGAGACUAAUGCAGCUAAUAUACUAAGACAGCAAUUUAAUUCUUAAAUGGAAAUACAGGCUGGUGUGUAGCUCAGUGGUAGAGCGCUUAUCCAGCAUGUGUGAGACUCUGGCUUCCAUGCCCCAAACCACAAAAGCAAACAUAUACAGGAAGAAAGCAGGCACAUCUUAGAUGUUCCACCCAGAUUAACAUUGCAGUCUCUCUUGCCAUUACACAUGGAACUGAGGACGAGCAGAGGUUUAGGCAUAGUUGUGGAGGAAGCAGCCUCUUCUAGCAUUUUAAUGAUAUGUGGUGUUUUCUGAUGAAGUCUCUGACACGGAUGACAGUGACAUUGGAAUAUGGAAGUCCUGUACUCUGAGAAAGAUCACAUUUCUAGAUGAUGCUUUUGCCACUGAUUAACUGGAUCUGCAUGCUCAUUUGUUUGAAGAGUUGGUUCCCAGAUGGUGGCACUAUCUUGGGAGACUGAGAGACCUUUUGGACUUGGGGCCUAUUUACAGACUUGAGGAUACAGAAGUUGGCCUCAUAGCCCAUCCUCAGGUAUUUUUAUCACAGUCAUGGGGAAAGUAACUUGUGAAGGUCAAUAAGAUCUUUGCAGUGCUUUAUGGGUAC